rnacentral:rRNA from 1 species
CACGGAGGGGGCUAGCGUUGUUCGGAAUUACUGGGCGUAAAGCGCACGUAGGCGGCUCUGCAAGUUAGAGGUGAAAGCCCGGGGCUCAACUCCGGAACUGCCUUUAAAACUGCAUCGCUAGAAUUGUGGAGAGGUAAGUGGAAUUCCGAGUGUAGAGGUGAAAUUCGUAGAUAUUCGGAAGAACACCAGUGGCGAAGGCGACUUACUGGACACAUAUUGACGCUGAGGUGCGAAAGCGUGGGGAGCAAACAGG